rnacentral:rRNA from 1 species
UACGGGGGGGGUAAGCGUUGUUCGGAAUUACUGGGCGUAAAGGGCUCGUAGGCGGCCAACUAAGUCGGACGUGAAAUCCCUCAGCUUAACUGGGGAACUGCGUCCGAUACUGGAUGGCUUGGAUUUGGGAGAGGGAUGCGGAAUUCCAGGUGUAGCGGUGAAAUGCGUAGAUAUCUGGAGGAACACCGGUGGCGAAGGCGGCAUCCUGGACCAAUAUUGACGCUGAGGAGCGAAAGCCAGGGGAGCAAAACGGGGA